CUGGAAUAGUCAUUAUUUACAGUUGGUAUUGGCUAGAGGUUCACGUCUAUAAAGAGACUGUAAAAACAUAGCCAGUGAUUAUUGGCAUUGAGGCAUGCACCAUAUAAAGAGCUUUACACAUGCACCAUCUAAUUUAAUCAUCUAGCAACUUAAUGAGCAGUUGUUCUUACUGAUGACAUUUUAAAGCCGAGUACCAAAGAGGUCCAUUAAGGAAUCUUGAGAAGCAACAGAUUUUCUGAGGUGGGUGUAGGAAGAAGGAUUAGUGAAUGUAACAGAAAUGGAAUGGGCAAAGCUAGGAAGAGAAUCUCUGGACAGAAGAAGAGGACCAAAGACAGAGUCCUAAGGUACAACAGCAUUUGUGGGAGUGGGUAAGGAGAGACGUCUAGCAGAGGACUUAUAUUAAGUGAUCAGAAAUUCAGAGGGAGAACUGAAUUCAGAAAAUGGGAAAGGAGUUUUGAGAAGAAAAGGAUGCUUGAAGUAAAUGCCUCAGACUGUGAAAGGUCAAGUUAUGUGAGGAUGAAAGAAGCCUUAAGUUGGUUCUGUGCACUUUUAGCUAUAUGGUGGGGUGAAAACUGAGGAGGAAGGGUGAGGAAUGAAUUGAAUUGUAAGGAGAGGGAGUGGAAUAGUUAGUUGCUGCCUAAAGGGCGGCAGCACUGAGGAAAUCAGUGUUGAGAAGAACAUACAUAGGUCCCUACCAGAAGAAAAAGAGAUUCUAAAAGAUUCUUUUUUCUUAAAAUAGAAAAGAAAUCUAUCAUUUUGUUUAUAUGCAAAGGCUCAGGAGAAGGAACACCUGAAGGUGCAGAGGAAGGGGAUUUGAUAGAAUAAUAUCUUGGAGGAUGAUGGAGGAGAUAAGUAGAAGUAUAGAAAGGGCUGAACAAAGGGCAUCCCUCUGCCCACCCGCCUUGCUUCCAGGGUUCAGAAGCACGUUUGAAACACUGGGUAGCAUGAGCAAGAGGAAAUGUGAAGAGAGACCUAAAGGAUUGGGCAGGUUAGACAGAGAAAAGCUUUUUGUGCUAUUCCUAGUGUAGAACUAGGGCAGACUAAAGUUUUAUAUAUUUUUUCAUAAAGAAAAAUAAAUAAAUGUAGUACAUCUGCAUAAUAUGGCUUUGUACUAAAAUGAGCCUCACUAUGGUGCCUUCUUCAAAAUUACCAGAUAGAGGCAUAAAGUGUUACAGAAAGUAGUUUCACUUAAUUUACUGUAUUUCAUUUGUUUAACAUGGCGUUUGCAAUUGAUGUUCUUUUGGUAUGAUAACUACCUACAAAUUACCGUGCUUUCUUCCUCAGAUAUUCAUCCUCUUUGAAAAGAAAAGGAUUUACAGAUUAUAUUAGACUUUUAUUUUUUAAAAUGUAUAUUUGUGAAUAGAAAACAUAAAAAUCCAUGUAUUUCCUAGCUACAUUUAUCCAAUCAUAUAUUAAUAAUUGAGUCCAAUUAAACAGUUUUAAACAACUGCAACAAAAAUAAAGCAAGUGGAGGCAAAAGUUAUAAUGGGUAAAUACUUCAUGAAAUUCAGUAGAAACUAAAACAUUUUAGAUUGUUGUAUGCUAUAAAGAGUUUAUGCUAACUUUUUUUUCCUGAGGAGAUUUUGUUUAAAGUAAGACUACUUAAUAGCAUAUUUUGAUGAUAUUUGAGAAGAAAUUCAAUCCCGAAACAUAAUUGCAACAUGGAGGAUGAGGAGAAAAAUCUACAUUUUUUCCCUUAAAAAAUGUUGAUUUUUCUAGAAUCUCAUUCAGCGCUAAAAGUAUGAUGUUGUAUAUGGCAUGCCAGUAGAGGUUGUCUACAUAUUUACCAGUUAAACUCUAGUUUUUAAUUGUUACUCAGUCUUUCACGACUAGAAUGUCAAACCAAGAUAUAUUUGAAGAAAUAAAAGGUAGUAUCAGUAUUUUCUGUACCAAUAAGUAUAUAUUUCAUAAGGAACUAAUUCCUUCUAGUGAUAAUUUAUUAUGGGAAAAGAAGAGAUAUUUAAACAUGACUCUGAUCUUAUCUGCUUUCAAUUUGGUAAACAAACAAACAAACAAACAAAAAACAGUAUCAUGUUCUGUUUUCUACCUGGGGGUUUCUAGGAUACCCUGUCAUUAGGAGUAGGUCCUCCUCAAAAGGAGAUCUUAAGAUCCAGAUCAGAUUUUAAUAGAAGGAGGAUGACUAAAUGUGUGUUUGUUCAAUAUUAUGUCCUAAACAUCAAAGAUCCACUGACUAAACUAUCUUACUCUUGGAUAGGCCUUGCUUCCCUUUUUAAGUAUAAAUAUCUCUUGAGGAGUAACAAUAAGUGACUGUUUUCUUUUAGAAAUAAAUUUUUCAGAAAUAAAUCUUCAUUCGAUAGAGUGGGAAACAAGAUGCUAGUUAGGGAUAAGAAAGCGUUUCCUAAAGAGUGGGCCAAAAAUCGCUGGAAAGUGGAGCUAGGUUUUAUCACUAAAACCUUUGCUUGCUUCUUCAUUUUGCAUGUGGCCAAAGCAGUCUUGUCUUGAGAAGCCCUUUGACACGGGGCAUUUUCAUGUGGAAGCACUAUAAAUGGACUUUCCAGGAGGCACAUCAAAGGGUUUCAUUUCUGUUAGAGUCUAUUUUUCAGCUAAAUUCAUUCAAAUAGAAUUUCUUGGCCUGCUCAUGUAAGUAGCAUGUCUGGCCUGCCAAAUGUCAUAAAUAUAUGACAAUUUAUUUCUCUUCUCUCAAACUUGUGGAAAGUUCCUGAAGGCCAAAUUCUCCCCUUGCAUUGUGGAAGGGCACCAUUUGAUCUUAUGAAUAAUGGGGAGUUCCUGUCAUGGCUCAGUGGAAAUGAAUCUGACUGGUAUCCAUGAGGAUGCUGGUUAGAUCCCUGGCCUCGCUCAGUGGGUCAGGGAUCAGGUGUUGCCUUGACCUGUGUAUAGGUCACAGAUGCAACUCCAGUCCCAUGUUGCUAUGACUGUGGCAUAGGCCAGCAGCUGUAGCUCAGAUUUGACCCCUAGCCUGGGAACUUCCACAUGCCACGGAUGUGGCUGUAAAAAG
rnacentral:lncRNA from 1 species